rnacentral:lncRNA from 1 species
GUGUCAUGUUGUCCUUGGGUCUCUUGUGCCAGUUUUACAGAAUUAGCUCAGGAGUAAGACAUGUCUUCGGAUGGUUUUACGGCGUAUUAAUUAUUGUCCUUAGUGGGUUUCAAAAAGUGGUAUUAAGUUUGGACAUCUUUUAAAGUUGGUCACAAAGCAAUGACUACACAAUAUUUUUUUUAUAUAAAUUACAAUUAUUUUUAUAAGACUACAAACAAAAUUUGCGAUCAUAUUGUGGUAUCAUGUUGUCGUUGUCGUCCGCGUCAUCUGAAGACAGUUGGUUUCCCGACAAAUACAGUGCACUUUAGUACAAGAAAAUAGAAAUCUAUGAAAUUUAAACACAAGGUUUAUAACCUUGAAAGGAAAGUUUAGAUUGUUUUUGGGGGUUAUGGUCCCAACAGUUUUGGAAUUAAGGGCCAAAAAAAGGGACCUAAGUAAGCAUUUUAGUAGUUUCCAGACAAGGACUUGUGUUAAGUGUAUGAAUCUCUCUGUAAUUAUAACACAAGCUUCCAUACCACAAAGGAAUGGUUAGGAUUGACUGUGGGGGUUAUAGCUCCAACCAUUUAGGAAUCAGGGGCAAAAAAUGGGGAAAACAAGGGUUUCCUGGUUAAUGAACUAAAACAAAGUAAAUAAAUCGUGCACUAAUCCACUGGAAAGUUGUUGCCUCAAAAUGAACCAAAAAUGUUUUUCUUAUAUUUACUUCAAAUUC